AGUGAACGCUGGCGGUAGGCCUAACACAUGCAAGUCGAACGGCAGCACAGUAAGAGCUUGCUCUUACGGGUGGCGAGUGGCGGACGGGUGAGGAAUACAUCGGAAUCUACUUUUUCGUGGGGGAUAACGUAGGGAAACUUACGCUAAUACCGCAUACGACCUACGGGUGAAAGCAGGGGAUCUUCGGACCUUGCGCGAUUGAAUGAGCCGAUGUCGGAUUAGCUAGUUGGCGGGGUAAAGGCCCACCAAGGCGACGAUCCGUAGCUGGUCUGAGAGGAUGAUCAGCCACACUGGAAGUGAGACACGGUCCAGACUCCUACGGGAGGCAGCAGUGGGGAAUAUUGGACAAUGGGCGCAAGCCUGAUCCAGCCAUACCGCGUGGGUGAAGAAGGCCUUCGGGUUGUAAAGCCCUUUUGUUGGGAAAGAAAAGCAGCAGGUUAAUACCACGCUGUUCUGACGGUACCCAAAGAAUAAGCACCGGCUAACUUCGUG
rnacentral:rRNA from 1 species